rnacentral:rRNA from 1 species
GCCCGCUGCUCAGCCAAACUACCAACACAAACCGACUCCUCCACGACAAACAAACCAUUUGACACUACAAGUAGACGCGAUCAAACUUAGCCAACUUUGCGCCAUAGCAAACAGUACCGCAAGGGAAAGUUGAAAUAAUAAUGAAACAAAAAGCACCAAAAAGCAUAGAUUACACCUAGUACCUUUUGCAUUAUGGUCUAGCCAGCCAAAAGCCAGGUAGAGCGCAACUGCAAUCUGUCGCCCCGAAAACAUGCGAGCUAUUUUAAAGCAGCAUUAUGUGCGAACCCGUUUCUGUAGCAAAAGAAUGGGAAGACUUUAAAAUAGAGGUGAAAUGCCAACCGAGCCUGUAGAUAGCUGGUUGCUCGAUUCUAAACGAAUGUUAGUUCGACUUCAAAUGGACACAACAAACCACUUGUACAGCCCACAUUUGAAAGUUAUUCAACUGGGGGACAGCUCAGUUGAACAUGGAUACAGCCUGCGCCGAGAGACACAUCACAUUAGUGCCACCAAAGAGUAAGCCUUGAAGCCGCUACCAAGCACCACCGCGUCAAAGCAACACACUAAAUAAAUACCAAUACAAACAUGCCACUCCGGAACACUAACCCGAGCAAUUCCACGCACUCGUGGAAGAAAUACUGCUAGAACUAGUAACACGGCCACAGCCUCACUAUGCACACACUUACGCAAAACAUACUAAUUACCUAGACACAAAAUUGUAAAAUACUAACACCACACCACCAAGACAAAAUAUUCAUCCCAGCCUAUAACCCCAACAUCGGAGUGCAUGAAAGAAAGAUAAAAUACUAUAAAAGGAACUCGACAACCAACGGCCCCAACUGUUUAUCAAAAACAUAGCCUUUAGCACCCAGCAGUAUUAAAGGUCUCGCCUGCCCAGUGACACUCGUUAAACGGCCGCGGUAUCCUAACCGUGCAAAGGUAGCGUAAUCACUUGUUCUUUAAAUAAGGACCCGUAUGAACGGCUACAUGAGGGCCGAAUUGUCUCUUAUAGUAAAUCAAUGAAACUGAUCUGCCAGUACAAAAGCUGACAUACAGACAUAAGACGAGAAGACCCCGCGGAGCUUUAAACACACCCGCUAAACAAACCAAGCGGCAAAGUUUUUGGUUGGGGCAACCUUGGAGAACAAAAGAACCUCCAACACACAUCGCCAAGGCCUACACGCCAAAGCGCAACAAUAUACGACCCAAUAUAAUUGACUAACGAACCAAGUUACCCCGGGGAUAACAGCGCAAUCUUCUUUUAGAGUCCCUAUCGACAAGAAGGUUUACGACCUCGAUGUUGGAUCAGGAUACCCAAAUAGUGCAGCCGCUAUUAACGGUUCGUUUGUUCAACGAUUAAAAUCCUACGUGAUCUGAGUUCAGACCGGAGUAAUCCAGGUCGGUUUCUAUCUAUGUAUUGCACAUCCCCUUAGUACGAAAGGACUUGGGGAUGGGGGCCACUGGUCACCACCACGCCUCAACACAACAGCUGAACACAAAUAAAGCUACUGAGCAACAACAAGCAGUAAAACACUGCACC